rnacentral:rRNA from 1 species
ACUCCUACGGGAGGCAGCAGUGGGGAAUAUUGCACAAUGGGCGAAAGCCUGAUGCAGCCAUGCCGCGUGUAUGAAGAAGGCCUUCGGGUUGUAAAGUACUUUCAGUUGUGAGGAAGGGUGUGUAGUUAAUAGGUGCAUAUCUUGACGUUAGCGACAGAAGAAGCACCGGCUAACUCCGUGCCAGCAGCCGCGGUAAU